rnacentral:rRNA from 1 species
CCUACGGGUGGCUGCAGUGGGGAAUAUUGGACAAUGGGGGGAACCCUGAUCCAGCCAUGCCGCGUGUGUGAAGAAGGCCCUCGGGUUGUAAAGCACUUUCAGUGAGGAAGAACGCCUGGUGGUUAAUACCCAUCAGGAAAGACAUCACUCACAGAAGAAGCACCGGCUAACUCCGUGCCAGCAGCCGCGGUAAUACAGAGGGUGCGAGCGUUAAUCGGAAUUACUGGGCGUAAAGCGCGCGUAGGUGGCUUGAUAAGCCGGUUGUGAAAGCCCCGGGCUCAACCUGGGAACGGCAUCCGGAACUGUCAAGCUAGAGUGCAGGAGAGGAAGGUAGAAUUCCCGGUGUAGCGGUGAAAUGCGUAGAGAUCGGGAGGAAUACCAGUGGCGAAGGCGGCCUUCUGGACUGACACUGACACUGAGGUGCGAAAGCGUGGGUAGCAAACAGGAUUAGAUACCCGAGUAGUC